rnacentral:rRNA from 1 species
GGUCUUGACAUCCCGGAGACCCGUUAGGAAACUAAGGGGGUGGCUUCCAUCUGGAAGAAUCUGGAGACAGUGCUGCAUGGCUGUCGUCAGCUCGUGUCGUGAGAUGUUGGGUUAAGUCCCGCAACGAGCGCAACCCUUGCCUUAGUUGCCAGCAGUUCGGCUGGGCACUCUAAAGGGACUGCCGGUGUUAAACCGGAGGAAGGUGGGGAUGACGUCAAGUCCUCAUGGCCUUUAUGACCAGGGCUACACACGUACUACAAUGGCCGAUACAAAGGGCAGCGACACUGCGAGGUGAAGCCAAUCCCGUAAAAUCGGUCUCAGUCCGGAUUGGAGUCUGCAACUCGACUCCAUGAAGUUGGAAUCGCUAGUAAUCGUGGAUCAGCAUGCCACGGUGAAUACGUUCCCGGGCCUU